rnacentral:rRNA from 1 species
CCUACGUGAGACAGCAGUGGGGAAUAUUGCACAAUGGGGGAAACCCUGCUGCAGCGACGCCGCGGGAGUGAAGAAGUAUUUCGGUAUGUAAAGCUCUAUCAGCAGGGAAGAAAAUGACGGUACCUGAUUAAGAAGCCACGGCUAACUACGUGCCAGCAGCCGCGGUACUACGUAGGGGGCGAGCGUUAUCCGGAUUUACUGGGUGUAAAGGGAGCGUAGACGGCAGCGCAAGUGUGACGUGAAAUGCCGGGGCUUAACCCCGGAACUGCUUUUGAAACUGUGCAGCUAGAGUGCAGGAGAGGUAAGUGGAAUGCCUAGUGUAGCGGUGAAAUGCGUAGAUAUUAGGAGGAACACCAGUGGCGAAGGCGGCUUACUGGACUGUAACUGACGUUGAGGCUCGAAAGCGUGGGGAGCAAACAGGAUUAGAUACCCGGGUAGUC